CAGAUGUUAUAGGGCCGUAGAUGGCCUCGGAGCAUGACAAUUCCAGUGAAUGUCCCUUCAGUCAAAAACUGUAUGGCAUGCCAACCAUGGGCCAAAUGACAUGGGAGAUGUUGAAGUGACCAAGACCCAGUCCUGGCCCUUCAGAGACUCAUAGUCUGUUCAGAGAAGCAAAUACCCAAAUGCCUCUAACAGAGGAGGGAUUGUGGGUAUUUGUUAUAGCAAAAACGUCAAGUGUAGGAAAAAAUGACAAGGGAGAGAGCUGGAAAUGCCACCUGCUCCUUCCCCUUGGGGAUGGAAAUGCGCCUGGUGAAGAUGGAGGUGGAGUUCAGCAGGGAUUUCCUUCUCUUCCCUUUGGGGGCUCUCCAAAGACACUCCACUGAAUGGAUGGGUGAGCUGAUGAGUACCUGGGAGUCCACAGCCCACCAGGCAGAGAUUCAGUGAGAAGUUGACGCCCAGAGUGGAGGACCUGCAGAAGGCAGCAGGUCACUGAUGCUGGUUUGAGGACCCAGGAUGGUCCAAGUGUCUGAGCUGCUCCUUGUUUGUUCAAACCCUGCUCCCAAAAAGGACCCGAUCCCCGGCGCCCCAGUGUGCAUCAGCACCUCCCCACAUGGGGUGAAGCCCACAACCCCCUUCUAAUGCACACGGAGCUGCGGGGGCCCAUCCACUGGCAUUUGUUGCUCCCAUCAGAGGCGUAAAUGUAAGAGCUGUGCUGGAGGUGGGGGGUGGGUAUUUUAAGCUUUAUCUUUCCUUGUAAAGAGAAAUGCAGCCCUCAUUAAAGCAGAACUUUAGGUGAAGGACUUGCCUGUGGGUUCAAGGUAGGGGAGCACCCUGAGGUCCCCCAGUCAAACCUGAGAAGCUGCCUCUGAUGAGGCUGAGCUCAUCACAGGAGGAAAGCCCGAUGUUCUUGAGUGAAAAGCUCAAAAGCAGCGAAGGGAAGAAAGCCAGCCCUGCAGGAAGUCCCUCCAGCCUGUUCCUGAUUCCCGUGACCCUUUGUAACCCCUGCGAGGAGCUGGAGGACAAUCUGAC
rnacentral:lncRNA from 1 species